AGAAGGAAUCUAUACAUUUAAAAAAUCCUCAUCCAUGUUUUAAAAAAAAACACAAGGAAAAGCCACAGGUAAAACCAAGAGAGAAAGUGAAAUUGUAAAGGAAAACAAAUGAGCAAAGGGGGCUAUGGAGCUUCUUCUAGAGACAGUCAGUCCAACUUGUAAAAUGAGAGCAAACAGUAUAGGCACAUGAAAACCAUUGAGUAGAGUAAACUUGAUUAAGUGUUAGACCCUGAUUCUGCAAAAACUUGCAUACAUACUGUGAAUCAUUUAAUUGAAGUCAAUGUAACUACUUGGUACAUAAAGUUAAGCAAGUCUUUGCCAAAUCAAGGCUUAAGACUGCUAGGAAAUUAGCUCUAUCCUAGUGAUUACUUGUCUGAUGCUGCUUUAACCAAUCACCAGCUGUUGAAUUUCUGAUACUGUUGUUGGUUUUGGAGAGAGCAGCUGGGAUUAUUAAUGCAGCUGGAAUAUACCAAGCAAAAUAGCCUCCACAAGUCUUUUGAAGAGGAGAGAUGGUAGAGUAGUUUGUGAGACUGUAGUAGUAGAUAAAAUACUAUACCUAUCUGUCUAAUUUACAUAGUUGCUAUCCCUAUAUAGUUUUCUCUACUGGAGUUGCUAGAACAGAAUUGGAAAAAUAAGCAGUGCAGCAACUUCUUCUCAACUGAAGUCUAAAGGAAGCCUACCCCAGGUUCUUUCCCCAGUAAAACUUCAUUCUACGCUAGGUGCUCGAUCUCUAGGACACAAUAGUAUCAGAGUAGUUACAAAUGCUGAAAUGAGCAGCUUUGGUUUGAAUCCUGGAGAUAUGAUGCCUUUUACACCAGAAGCCAGCCAAACAUCUUGCAGACUCCUGCUGAACAGUAAUCAAAUCACAGACAGCCCAAGAAUGAAUGCAAUGUCUCGGGUGUCUGAACGAAGCUUGCAUGUCUCUAAUCUCUCUAUUUCUCUUGAAAAGAAUGAUAGCGCAUCAACACAUUUUUUAGAUGAAAAUGUGCUACCAAGAAUGGAGUGGAUGAGCAAAGCUGUCAUACAAUCUCUGUUUCCUCCUCUGAAAAGGAAAGUACAGAACAAAGUGAACAGGAUAAAACUGUUUCUAUUAAAGUGCCUGUUUCAAAGAGGUGCACCUUC